UACGUAGGGUGCAAGCGUUGUCCGGAAUUAUUGGGCGUAAAGAGCUCGUAGGCGGUUUGUCGCGUCUGCUGUGAAAACCCGAGGCUCAACCUCGGGCCUGCAGUGGGUACGGGCAGACUAGAGUGCGGGUAGGGGAGAUUGGAAUUCCUGGUGUAGCGGUGAAAUGCGCAGAUAUCAGGAGGAACACCAAUUGCGAAGGCAGCUCGCUGGGACGUUACUGACGCUGAGACGCGAAAGCGUGGGGAGCAAACAGG
rnacentral:rRNA from 1 species